UACGAGGGGGGCGAGCGUUGUUCGGAAUUAUUGGGCGUAAAGGGCGCGUAGGCGGUGCGGUAAGUCACCUGUGAAACCUCUGGGCUCAACUCAGAGCCUGCAGGCGAAACUGCCGUGCUGGAGUGUGGGAGAGGUGCGUGGAAUUCCCGGUGUAGCGGUGAAAUGCGUAGAUAUCAGGAGGAACACCGGUGGUGUAGACGGCUUUCUGGACCGUAACUGACGCUGAGACACGAAAGCGUGGGUAGCAAACAGG
rnacentral:rRNA from 1 species